AGAGUUUGAUCCUGGCUCAGAUUGAACGCUGGCGGCAUGCCUUACACAUGCAAGUCGAACGGCAGCAUGAUCUAGCUUGCUAGAUUGAUGGCGAGUGGCGAACGGGUGAGUAAUACAUCGGAACGUGCCCUGUAGUGGGGGAUAACUAGUCGAAAGAUUAGCUAAUACCGCAUACGACCUGAGGGUGAAAGUGGGGGACCGCAAGGCCUCAUGCUAUAGGAGCGGCCGAUGUCUGAUUAGCUAGUUGGUGAGGUAAAGGCUCACCAAGGCGACGAUCAGUAGCUGGUCUGAGAGGACGAUCAGCCACACUGGGACUGAGACACGGCCCAGACUCCUACGGGAGGCAGCAGUGGGGAAUUUUGGACAAUGGGGGCAACCCUGAUCCAGCAAUGCCGCGUGUGUGAAGAAGGCCUUCGGGUUGUAAAGCACUUUUGUCCGGAAAGAAAUCGCACUUACUAAUAUUAGGUGUGGAUGACGGUACCGGAAGAAUAAGGACCGGCUAACUACGUGCCAGCAGCCGCGGUAAUACGUAGGGUCCAAGCGUUAAUCGGAAUUACUGGGCGUAAAGCGUGCGCAGGCGGUUGUGCAAGACCGAUGUGAAAUCCCCGGGCUUAACCUGGGAAUUGCAUUGGUGACUGCACGGCUAGAGUGUGUCAGAGGGGGGUAGAAUUCCACGUGUAGCAGUGAAAUGCGUAGAGAUGUGGAGGAAUACCGAUGGCGAAGGCAGCCCCCUGGGAUAACACUGACGCUCAUGCACGAAAGCGUGGGGAGCAAACAGGAUUAGAUACCCUCGUAGUCC
rnacentral:rRNA from 1 species